rnacentral:lncRNA from 1 species
UUAGUUUCCGGACUUGGUACUACAAAACCAUAGAUUGUCUUAAUGGCUUGUAAAUGUACCUAAGUAGUCUCAUCCUCACAAUCUUCCUAUUGAUAAUGUAUCAUUAGAAGAAUAUGUUAGAAAAGGUCUAUCAUAAAGAGGACAACACUUUUAAUGUCAUAAUUCUUCAAUUACAAUUUGUUGUAUGAAGAAAUAAGAGUUGCUUUGAACAACUCCUUAGUCAAUGCAAACACUUAGUGCUUGUUUCUUUGUUACAUGAACAAGGAACUUGAGAAGAAAGCACAAAGGCAUGGACACUUUAUGUGCCAUGAUUCUUCACUUACAAAUUGUUGUAUGAAGAAAUGAGAGUUGCCUUGUAACAACUCUUGAAAGUUUGUAAUUAUGUUUAGAACAUAAUGGUUGGUUGACAAAAAUAGUCCAUCAACAUGGACUUAUGAUGAUUUUGAAUCAUUGAGUGUUGAAGUGAUAAACCACUUAACGAGACGGAAACUAGGCAAGGACUUCACCUUUGUGUCCCUAUCCUAAUGGUUCACUAAGUUUAUUGUAAACUAUGUAGUGAACAAUAAACCACAUGCUCUCCAAAAUUGUUUGAUGUGUAUAACACAAUUGAAAUAAGUUUCAAGAGAGAUAGUGGGAGUUUAGGGACCAUGACUAAUUGUAGUCAAAGGUGAAAGUCAAAUGAAGAAGAUAAAUAACUCCAAGGGAACAAACUUUCUUUAUGAAAGGAUGGACAUUGGAAGGGGUAUUUGCAAGAAAUGUCUUGCAAGUGUCAAGAACACACCUUUCGAAGGUGUUGUAAAUUGUUCUUGAAAAGUUCAAAACAGUUGGUUCUUCUACUUGAAUGCUUGAUUCCGUAUUAGUAACUAUGUUUUACAAUCGUUGUAAAAGUGUGACUAAUAAGAAGUAGAAGAUAUAUGAGAGAAGAGAAAGGUGCUUCACAUUCGGAAACGUGAAUCAAAAUGUAGAUCUCUGCGAAAGCAGAUAGUACUUACUUCCUCAUAUGAACUACCAAAGAAAUUGGAAAAACAAAGAUUGUCUUUACAUUCCAAUUUUAAGGAACUAAAAUUCCGUCACUAUAGUGAAAUGGAUAAAUGUUUUGUUUGACAAAACAUUGUUCUUUAUUAAUCAAUGAUUGGAUUAUGGUAAUCUAAUUGAUUGUCUCUAUAGUAGAGAUGAUAUGGUAGUGUUAACUGUUUAGAAUAUAAUGAUGCUUAAAACCCAAAAGGUUGCAAGGUAGUGACUAAUCCCAACUAAAGUUGUGAUACCUCUAAAACAUAAAUUACGAGUUGGUCAUAGAUGGAUGCUUUGGAUCGUUAGAUCCGGAUCCAAUACCUUCUUGUUAAAAUUGUAUAGAGGCGAAAUGUUCGAAUCUUUAUUCUUUUGGAAAGAAGAAAAGAAUCACAAAGUUGUUGAGGUUAAUUCACUUAGAUGUUAGUGGCACUUGUCACAACAUAAUACUACUCAUGUUGAAUGACAUUCACCGAAGAUCACUCUCGGUUGGACUAUAGUUUAUUUUGAAUAAACACAAGUCCGAAUACUUUGCAAAAUGGUUUCAAAGAAUUCAAGAAAUGUAAGUUGAUGAGUAAGACGUCUAAAGUAUUUACCUCCUUAGAUUUGAUCCAAGGAAAGGUAACACUUUAGAUAAGUUUCCUUGAAAGAUAUCAAGGAAAGAAGCAUCAUAAGAUAAUAAUUUUCUCCAUUAGGAGAAGAACGAACUUGAAUAAGAUUUAGUUCGUUAGGAUGUUAUCUAUUACCCAUAUAUAGGAUAUAUACUUCUAAAAACAAUAUGAUUGUCAAUUAGAAGAUCUUCCAAAAUUUUCAUGACUCCAUAAGAUGUAGUUGGAAAAGAAAGACAAAUCUUAAGCAUGUUAAGAUUUGGGGUUGUGUGCUAAUAAAGCAAUAUUUGUUUGAUAACAAUCUUGUGGGAUAUCCUUAAAAUUAACUUUUGGAUAUCGCUUCUAUAAACCAACUAACAAAUGUUGUUUUGUUGGGUAGUUCAUUGUAAUCCUACAAUGUGAUUUGCCUAAAAGCAAAUGAACGAGAGAUAGAACUCAAAGAAUGGGUUCUUUGAGAGACAAGAAAGUAAUCAACAAAUAUAACAACCUAGUUCCUAUACCACAAAGCUCCAAGGUAGUCGAGAAGGAUUUAUAAACCGUCUCAGUUGAAUGGUUUUGAACUUUAUGACUAUGUCAUAGAGUUGCACCUCUUAAUUCGAAAGAAAUAAGAAUGAAAAUCCUUAUGACUACAUUGAGUGUAUAUACGAUAUAUACUCAAGGAAAUGGUAAAGUACCAUUUGACCCGAAAUAAUGAAACCUUCAAAAGCUAAUUGGUAGCUUAAGGUGACUACAAUCAAAGAGAAUGGUUGACUUUGAAAGAAACCAUUUUUGACGUAGUCUUAGUUUCAAUUAAUUCGAAGAUUGCUAGCUACAACUAAAUGGUGAUUCAAUGUUUGGACAUAAUAUGGGUUUCCGAAACCAUUAUUAAGAUAGUCUUGAUAAUAUAUGUCUAAAACUAUAAAUCACAAGACAUGUAAGUUGUAGAGAUCCAUCCAUCAUGGAAUCUUAGCAAGCUAGUGGGAGCUAUAAGCAUCUUAUGAGAAAAAGGAUCAAAUCGUUUGAUUUCUCAUAAAGAUGUAAAUGAAUCUUUUGUUUACUAGGUUUACAAAAGAUUAGUGGGAGUUAAUCAUGUUCCUAAAAAUUUAAAUAUAUAUGAUAUAUUAAUUUUGGAAAUGAAAAGAAUACUUCUUCGUUAAAGUUAUGACUUUAAACAUUAUAUGAAGAUAGAAUGUAUAUGGGAGAUAUAGUCUAUAUACAUGGGAUGGAAAUCUAUAAUGAUAUAUUUCAUGAUAUAAUUGGAUUAUAUCAAUCCCUAAUAAUAGACAAUGGAUGCUAGGAAGUUUCUCAUAUGAUGAUAAACUUCAAUAGAAGGACGAUUCUAGUGAGACUAGCAAGUUGCCCUUCUCAAAGGGAACGUACCCUUUGACUCCCAAAGAAAUAAUGCGUAAAUAGAAUCCUUUAUGCAUACGCAGAAAGGUGAUUUAUGUAUUUCAUAUUGUAUGAAAAACAUUGAUAUGAGUUGUACCUAGAACGGUACAAGACGAUAUCAGUGCAAGCCCAGGAUCAGAACCAUGGCAACUGUCAAGUGAGUCCUUAAGUAUUUGAGAAAUACUAAAGGAUAAAUUCCUCAAAGAAUGAGGAAGAAUUAGAGUAACGUAAGGGAAGCGUAAAUGUAUUAGAUUAUGAAUCUAAUCCAUCAUUGGAUGUUUCUUCAUUAUGAAUGAAGAGAUAAACGAAUAUCUCUUUAUUAUGACUAAAGAGAUAUUUGGAUGGAAACAUUAAAGUAAUGACUUUAGUGUGUUCCAUUAUGAAUGCAAGAUAUAUUGCCAUAUAGAAGUUUACAACAAUGUUGUUUGGAUGGGAAAGUUCAUUUAUGAACUCUCUAUUCGGUUCCAACCAGAAAGUGUUUGACACUAAUGGGGCGAUAGCUCAAGCCUGGGAAUCAAGGUCUCAUCAAGAUCCGAACACAAAUGAGAGACUGAACCACAUGAUUGAGAAUCAUGUAUAAUGGUGACGUCGUUAUUCUCAAGGUUGCUUCUGUGGAUAACACAUAUAGAUAUCCACUGUCUAGGCCUACUAUUCAGCCAUUUAUGAAAUGACUACAGAAGAGAUAUCAUCAUUGAUGAUCAAGCUGAUUGGCUCUAGUGCAAGUGGGAGAUUGUUGGAAAUGUACCCUAAAGCCAAUCAUGUGAUGAUACUUUACGGACAUUUCACAUGUUAAACUAAUCUAGUUUAACAUAUAAAGGGCAUAGAUUAUUGUUUGAGCCGUCUCAUAUAAAUGUUAUAUGCUUAAACGAUAAAGUCCAAGGAAUUUGUGAUUGAGAGAAUGUAAUCUAAUGAAGUUAGAUUCUUGAGACCAUUCUUUCGUAGACACAUCCUAAACGUUCCUGAUCAUAGGAUUGCCAAUUGGGCAUUGACAGUCCGUCAAGAUCGGUACGUACUAUGUCUUCUCUCAGGGAGAGUGAUUAGUCUCGAAUCAUUGGUGUGUGUGACAUCAAGACAAGUACGGUAGGUGCUCAAUAGAGAAUGAGUUCACUGAACGCGAUCAACGAAGAGUUCUCAUAUUCCAUGUCACAUAAGAACUCAUGGUUGGGAUAAUGCAAAGUAGUCCUUUGACCUGAGGCAUCAUAGUUGUCUUGUGGUUAAGACCUUGAUCUUUGAUUAUGUCAAAGUCAUCCCACCAGGAGGGUGUCCACGGCAUCGUUGGGGUCAAGCCGCUUAGCUAUGGAGACAAGUGAAUGCGCAACAAGGGAUCUCUAACCUUCAAACCGUUUGAGGGAGAAUACUCUCUGAUAUGAUUUGAAUCUUUGGCCAAAGUAUGAAUGAGAUUAGGGAAUGCGUUCCGAAUCACAUUCAAGGUAAUCAUAUAAAGCACAAGACACACAUUGGAUAGUAGACAUGAGAAAAUAAACUAUCAAACCAAACAAUGUGGUCAAGAGUAUUAGAUUAGAGAAGGACCGUAUUGCAUUUGUAAUCUCGAACUGAAUAGGUUCUCUCUAACCUCUUCUGAUUAGCUUGGGUAACCAUGAUAUGCUGCUAGGUGUCACUCAUGGUUUGUGGAAGCCCUAAACGUGUAUAAUCACUAAAGGGAGAAUUGAAAAUGUUUCAAUUCACAAUCGAUGUAAAAUGGUUUUAAUCGCCCACUACCUCGCUAAAAGGAACCUAAUGGAUCGCACACCGUGAAAGGUGGAGAUUGGAGAUUAAAUGGAAAUGAGUAAGAAUGAUUAAAUGGUUUAAUCAUUGAUUUAUGGCAAGGAUUAAUUAAUAUGUUAAUUAAUCAAACGAAUAAGUUCGUUAAAGACUUCGGGAUAGUUUUGGACCUUAAGGCCCAAUGGGCUUCGAACGUCAAGCCCAUUAACUUAAGUUGUAUGACAAUUUAAUGAAUGAAGAUUCAUUAAAGCCCAAAAGCCCAAAUCUCAUAAGGUGGCCGGCCAUAUUAGAUGAAUUAGGGUUGUUUGGUUAUUUAGGUCACUUAAAGAAGUGACUAUAUAAAUGACUUUAUAACUAAAUAUUCAUUAAGUGAAUUAAGUGAAAAAUGGGUUUAUUUUGGGGGAAAUGGGUGAGAAUUGUCUCUCCAUUUUCUCUCUAAAGAGGCCAACACCUUGGAGGGUACAUCUAGCAAUCCUACUACUCCAAGGUCACUCAUUUCUUCUGCAAUCGAACCUUGGUGUCGAGAAUUAGAGGUUCUCAAUUUUGGGAACUUGGAGAACCUAUUCUUCCAUCCAAAUCCAUGGAUCUAAGAAGCAAGGAAUGAAGGCCCUUAUCUCUUUGGGUGAUUAGCUUUUGCUUAUGCAAAGAGGAAUCUACAAAGGUAUUAAUUUCAACUCACUUUGUUUUUGAGUUGAUUAUUGGUUCACCAAUCUACUAGGCUUUGAAUUUCAUGGGUAAAUGUUUUGUUUUUGAGUGCAUGUAAGCAUGAUUCUGCCUUUAAUUGUUAAUUGCAUGCUAUAUGAUGUUGCUCAAAUGAACAUGUUUUACAAAAUAAAUCCUUCAGUGCCUAUGCCCAAGCCUUGGGAGUGUUGGAGCGUUUCUAGGUGUUUUCUAUCUUUGUUUUUAAUGUCUAAAUUUAUGCAUCUUUGCUUUGUAAGUAUGAGGAACUAAACCCCUCUUAGUUAGGGGGUGAUUCGAAACUAUGUUCAUGCUUGCAAUAUGAUUUGAUUACAUCCAGUUGUGAUUCAUAAGUUGUGAAUUCAAUUUACUUAUCCGUUCGUAUAAAAACUGAUUUGUGUAUGUUGGUUGAGAGUGCACGCUUAAUUUUCAUGCAUGAAUUUGACGCUAGAAUAUAAGGGAGUUUCACCUAAUCGUUAUGAACUUAUAUUCACAAGUAGUGAAGGUUGCUAGUCACAAUCACGUUAAGUAAAUUCUUGGCAUAAGUUUCAUGCAAAUCAUAGUAACGAGUAUCUCGUCAAUGCUUAUGUUUUUCAUAGAACUUAAUGAUUCUUGCUUGUAUCUGCAAUUCAUGUAGGGAACUUGUAGGGAAUGUUUUGGGUUGUCGUAUGCAAUCAUCCAACCUAAUAACUUGUGGAAAAACUGAGGGUUAAUUAGUGCAAUUCACGGUUAAUUUGGGGCGUUGAGUAUUCAUAGUUUAUCGAAAAGCAACUGGAAAUCAUUUUGUAUGCAAGUGUGACAUGUGUGGAGAAGAACCUCCUAGCUAGCCUUCCAUCCAUAAGUUUAAUUCAAAUUCAUUUACAAUCUAUUUUGUUUUACAAAGUUUGUUUUGUUUUCAAAUUCGUCAAGAACCAAUCUCCCAUUUAUUUCAAAGUGUUAGAUUAGUUAGUAAUCACUUUAGUUUGUGUUUUUAAGGCAGUUUUGAGUGUUUAUUUGCUGUUUUGAAUCUUUUUGUUUAUCUUAGUAUUUUAAAGUAUAGUUUUACAUUCUUUGAGUCUAGUUUAGUGUUUUAAACUUUGUUUUUACGUUUUCAAGUCAGUUUCCAAGUGAUUUAGCAAUCCCUCCUAAUCCCCGGCCUAGAACGAUCCCUACUUACAUACUUUACUACAUUUGAUAAAAAGAGGGUUUAAUUUGUGUGCUUAUAUAUUUCGCAUCAGAGUACUUGCCCUAGUCGAAGUGUCUGAUGGGCUCGAACUAAGUUGCAAUAGACCUCAUGCGAGAGGACUACGAAUUGAAUUUGAGGUGAAGUGUUGAACCACACGGAGUUCCGAAGUUGAACUUUUAUAUUUUUUUUUCUAGGGAUGACUUGCCCCCAGUGUACUUCUUCCUAACUUGUCAGAGAAGUUGUGUUGUUAUUAGAGCUAAUGGCUACACGAGAUGGUGUUGGACUAGGUCAACCGUCGCAGGUUCUUAAAGAAAGAAAGGAUGUGCAAUCAGAACAUAUACCCUUUCAAAAAAUGAUAUCAAAUAGUCAGAUAAGAUACUAAACAAAAUAAAGAAAGGUAUUAGAAAUCCUCACUUUUGGUGUCUUCUGGAAAAUCUAGGCCUGGGUCUUGUGAUAAGACUCUCCUUCGCAUCAUAUGGAGUCCAGGUUCGUGACUCUUCAAUGUGAUCGUCAUCCUUGCUUUUCUUUUGGCUAACGGAUAGGAUUUUUACCGUCAAAUCAACUUCGAUUUGGUCCAAAAUGGUCUCUUUUUAAAGCUUAACACGUCCUCAACAAAUCUUCAUAAGAAACCUUUCUCGAAAUAUGCCAUCUUGAUCUUCAAAACAUCCAAAACGUCUAGAAACAUCAAUCUAAAAAAGUUUCACGUUGGGCCUUCUUUUCUUUGCCAUGAUCAAACGGCUUGGAAUUAAAUUAUGAAAUUUUGACUCGAUUAUCUUGUAAGACUAACAAUUCCAUUCCAACUAAAAUUACUCCAAAAGUCCUCCAUUUGAUCACUUUCCCCAAGGUAGAUUCACACGUUGAUAAAGUGAUUUGGGCAGGGGAAUAUGAAUUCACUCUCAAUGAAAGCACCAAUUGUUGGAACCAAAUUUGCACACAUCCACAGACGGAGGCGAGAACCAAGUUGGAAUUGUCUAUGAAUCUGGAAACGACUUGACGAAUAGCCUAUGGAGAGGCGCCGAGAGAUGAGUUCUCCGUAGACGUGUCUACGGGUAGAGGAGGUGUAAUGGCCUAUGUUAGUGAUAGGAGCAUAUUUAUGCCACUUAGUAUGUUUGUUUUCAUGCAUUUAUGUUCUUAGUUCUUAGUUAUGUUAGUAGUUUAAGCCAUUUUUGUGUGUUUGUAGGUUCUAUGGGCCAAGGAUGCAAGAAGAUGCAUUUUGGAGCAUUUUUGGGCCAAGAUUGGAUGGUGCAAACAUGGAGACAUGAGGAUGGACGAAUUUGAUGAUUCAAAGGGCUAGAAAUCUGCAUGUGUGUGUGCAAAGUGUUGGCCUACAACUUCAAACAUCAUAGCUGCCAUGUGAUGGCAGAAAAUGUGUUUAUUGCUAGCUAAAUGGAUGAAGAACAUGUAUGUGCAAGUAUAAACACCACAUGGGCAGCAAGAAGGAAAGAAAACAGCAACACACACACCACAUGGGCAGCAAGGAAUCAGAAAUUAAAGCAUGGAAGAGUGGGAAGUGAUGAGGACAACACAAACACACACACACAUGCACACUCACGGCAAGAAGAAUGGAAUCAGCAAAGGGGAGUGAAUGGACAGCAGAAAAGCAAGGAAAUUGGACCACUAUGAAGUGGAUUUCUUGUUGGUCUCCCACUUAUAGCUUUGGGUGGCUUUGGAAUGAUUAUUUCUAGGUGGAAAGAGCACAAAAACAGCACACACACAUGCAAAACAAAGCUGGCAGCAUCCUUCCCUUCAUUGCCGUGGGUUUUUGUGUGUCCAUUACCUUGCAUUUCUUUUCAUUUCCAACCUCUAUAUAAGCACCAUUCAGCCUUCAAGGAAGACACACAGAAAUUCAUACAUUUACAUUAGUUCCAAGGCUUGCAAAGAAGGAGGAGUGCUUGGAGUUGUGCUAGCCAUUCCAUUGGAGUUGUUGGAGCAUUCUAGGUGUAUUCUACUUUGUUUUUCUAUGUUUAAUAUCAAUUGUUUUUGUUUAAUUGCAAGUAUGAGGAACUAAUCCCCUACUUGGCUAGAGGUUAAUUCAAAGCCAUGAAUAUAUUUGUAAUAUGAAUUGAUUACCUUCAGUUGUGAUUUAUAAGUUGUGAUUUAAUUUGCUUAACUGCUUGAUUGAUAACUUAUUUUUGUAUGUCGAUUAAGAAUGCAUGCUUAAUUUACAUGCAUGAAUUUGAUGCUAGAAUAUAAGUGAAUUUCACCUAAUCGUUAUGAACUUAUAUUCAUAAGUAGUGAAGGUUGCUAGUCACAAUCACGUUAAGUAAAUUCUAGGCUGGAUUAACAUGCGUAUUCCAUAGUUAUGAAUGCCUAGUCAAUGUUUAUGAUUUCCGUUGAACUUAAUGAUCUUUGUUGAAUGUCUCUAUCAUGCGUAUUCCAUAGUUAGGGACUUUGAUGAGGAAUAAUUUGGUUGUAAUGCGUAUUCCAUUCAAUCCAAUGAAUCUAGGGAAAUCUAAGAGUUAAUUUAAGCGGACCUAAUUAACUUGGAACAUUGUCUUUCACAAUUUAUUGAAAGAACAACUGAAAAUCAAUUUAGGUUGCAUAUGUGUCAUGUGUGUAGAAGAACCCUCUAGCUAGUCUAUCACUUAUCCUUUCACCUUAAUUUCAUGCUUUUGUCAAUUCUGUAAUUUAUUUAAGUUUAAUUUACUUCUCGUCAAAACCAAACCCCCCCCCAUUAUUAAAUUAUAUUAUUUAGUUAGUGUUCAUUGUUGUUAGUCUUUUAAUUCAAUUUCCGUCCAUUUUAGUUCCUAGUGUCUAAUUUGAUUGUUUUCAUUAUUUUGAGUCAUUCUAAGUGUGUAUCGAGUUAUUAGAGUUUUUAGCCUAGUUUUGUGUCCUUGAGUCUUGUUUAAUAUUUUUAAAUUAAUUUAGAAUAGAUUAGCAAUCCCUCCUAAUCCCCGGCCUAGAACGAUACCCUACUUACAUCUAUACUACAAUUGUCAAAAAGAGGGUUUAAUUUGUGUGUCAAGUAAUUCUCACAUCAAUUAGGCAUGGAUAGAUUAAGUGUGUAUAUGUCUGAGAACAUGGGCAAAGGGAGAUGUGUUUGUCUAAGGUAGUCUUAUAAAGAAAAAAGUGAUUGUCCUGUGAUAAAUACUCAGGCUAGUGUAUUUAUAGGGAUCUUGAAAGUCCUCGUAGGGAAGUAAUCUUCAUCAAAUCGGAAGACUAUCUAGGAGGAAAUCUAGGAUAAGAUACCCAAUCUUUCUGGAAUCUUAAUUAUGUUGUCUAAUCCCUAGAAUCUUAAUUAUGUUGCCUUUUCCUAACGCAAGCAUUCUUGUCAAUUCAGUUUUCCACCAUUGCAAUAAUUUCCUGUCGGGUUUUACCUAAUAGCCGACAGUAAUUAGCUUUUCUUGUUGUUUUCAUUUAUGGCAAUAAUGGAUAGUUUUGUAGUAGUGAGACAAGUAAUAUCUUUAAGCUUAGGCCUAGUCUAUCUGACUUUACUUGGUAUUCUAACUUUGUUUCACUAAGGCUAGUCCGAGUCUAACUAAGGUUGGUCCCAAUCUGACUAGGGCUACUUCGAAUCUGACUAAGGCUACUCGAAUCUUACAAGGGCUAGUCCUCUCUGACUAUAAAGUAAUUUGUUCUGAUCCACAUCAAGCCUAUCAGCUUGUUCACCCAAAUAUCACAUGUUAUAGGCAUUCAAGUCUUUCUUGCCACCAAAGACAUAUACCACAUGUCUUGGGUCUAGAAAAUCAUGGUCCCAUGCAAUUCACUUUGAUUCUUACUGGUUUUCCUUUUUGCUGACUCUCGCUCGUUUCUGUAUAUUAUCGUACCUUAUUAGUUUUUCUCUUUCUCUAUUUGCAAUAUUAGGUUUGCAAGGGUGACAAAUGCUGCAAAUCUACAUAUAUUUAAUCUUUCUAGCAUUAGAAAUCACGAGGCUUGGUCAACAACACAAGGAUAUUGCCGCUAAGAAGCUGCACCCUUCUGCAAAUUGAGUACUGGGUAUCAAAAGGUCAUUUCAAAAGAUCUUAGGUGGUGGUGCUUCUCCCCCAUUGUUGUUCGCAUCUCAAUACUACCAUUUUGUUAGCAGUCCAGAUGUAGCUGGUGGUAAUAAUUCAAAAUUUCAAACUUAAUUAUAUUUUCAAUUGACUUUCGAAUGCGAACCAUAAUUUAAGAAAAAAAAGUCAAGCACAAAUAUUUUAUUGUUAAAAACUUAUCUCCUGAGGAAAAUUUUAAUAGGCUUUUUAUCACAAAUAGUUCCUGAAAUUAACACACCCAAUCAAGGUGGUCCCUGAAAUUGAAAAUCAAUCAAUGUACUCCCUGAAUAUUACUGCUGAAAAUCAAUGUGGUCCUUCCGUUAAAUUUCCGUCAAAACUUAUGUUAAUGGCUGACAUGGCACAUGUGGGAUCCAAUAUAAUUAAAUAUUCCCAGCUACUUCAGCUGGUUCUCGCUGAACCACGUCCACCAUUGCGAGGUUAGAUUCCUCCCUCCGUCUGCAGCGCAGCUGCUACCAUGUCCACGAUAUCGAGCCUAGUCCGUGGUGUUGUUAGGGUCGCCCGAGAUUGAGUGAGCACCCUACUCCACUGCACCCUUCCUCCCUCCCUGCAAAUCCAAAUCCAAAUUCGUGCAAAUCCAAACCACCACCAUCCAAAUUCCUGCAAAUCCAAACAACCACCAUCUUUUAAAUAAAUUUAAAAAUGAAAAAAAGAACAAAGGAGAUCGAACGAUCUCCUUCCCCCUCCGACCCAAUCUGGUAAUCCCUUCCACACACCACCCUGCUCUCUUGAUUACUCCCUUUGAUUACUCCUGCAUUUUUUUGUUUUUGGAAGAACCAAAACAUGCAAGAAACCAACCCAUGAUUUCGACCUCUCUUUCCCUCCUCUUGGUCUCUCAAAGAUUGUGUGUUUCUGCAAAACAUAGAGGGGAAAAUGGUGGCUUGGUGCUUGGGUUGGGUGUUCACAAGUCACAGCCUCUUGGGUGCUCACAUGGCAGCAUUUGAGCUGCAGACGAAGGGAGGAAUCGGACCUCGCAAUGGUGGACGUGGUUCGGCGAGAACCAGCUGGAGUAGCUGGGAAUAUUUAAUUAUAUUGGGUCCCACAUGUGCCAUAUCAGCCAUUAACAAAAGUUUUGACAGAAAUUUAACGGAAGGACCACAUUGAUUUUCAGCAAUAAUAGUCAGGGACUAUAUUGAUUGAUUUUCAAUUUCAGGGACCACCUUGAUUGGCUGUGUCAAUUUCAAGGACUAUUUGUAAUAAAAACCCUUUUUAAUACUAAAUGUUUACUGAAAGCAAUCGCAACUAUCAAAACGUUGUGGCAAACUUAAAGGAAACCAUAAGCUUGAGCAUUCAAUAUUUUGUUUUUACAAGUUGGAAUGAUAAUAUUGUUCCAAUCAAUACAAUUACAUUCUUGUGGAGUGUGAAAGACUUGAAGUUGGAAUGUUUGUUUUACUAUGAUUCUAGGGAAGUUGUUAAACUUGAUUUAUUUAUUUUUUUAAUAUUGAAAAUUUGAAAUAUUUAUUUAAAAAAAAAAAAAGAAGCGUACCACCAAAUCGAACCAAAUUCAACCCGAAUUAAAAAAAAAAUCAAAUGAAAAACUAAACCAAAUAGUGACUUUAAUUCGAUUUUUGGUUUUUAGUUUUUAGUUUUGACAAAAAACCAAACCAAACGGAACCGAACAUACCCCUAUCGUCCAUGAGAUUUAAAUUUGUUAUUCUCCUCCAACAAGUGUUUAAAAUCAUUGUUUCAUUUAAAAUUUUCAGAAGAAAAUUGCACACAAAUCAGACUCUAUGAUCAGGACAACAAUGCCAGUAACAAGCCCUUGUAAAAAAAUUCUUGCAAGAUUUGUUAAAUUUAUUCUUAAAAUAUUUAAAUUAUAUAUAUAUAUAUAUAUAUGACUAAUAAUUUCGUGAUAUAUCAUAACAAAUCCCAUCGGAAUCCAAUCCUCUUCCGCCUCCACAACCACCGUCCCUUAUUGAUCUGUACAUUUAUCCGACUACCCAAAUGAAGUUAUGCCAUGAGAUUCAAGCCCAUGUGAAAUUUUGACGAGUUGGGCCGGAGCCAACCGUGCGAAGCUCCCAAAACUGUUGUAAACGACCGAAUAGGGUUCCUUGGAAUCCAACCAAUUUAGACUAGGGGUGAGCAUGGGCCAAGCUGAGUCCAAGAGUAAUGCUUGUUUUUAUGUUCUACUUCCUCACUACAAAUUCCUAACUAUAACAAAAAUGCAGGAAAAAAAAACCCCAAAUCUAGAAUUUGAAUCCACUUAAGUUCCUAACUAGAACCAAAUGCAGAAAAAACCCAAAUCAGAGAAAGAAUAACAAAACCCAAAAUUAAGUAAAUAGUGAUAGUCAAUCAACCUUCAAUAAACUCGACAAAUCUCCUCAGAGGCUCAUAAGCUCGGAUCAAGCAAACCAAUAUCAACGGAGAUGGUGGUUGGUGGUCAAGUGGCGGAUGGGAGGUAUCUCGAUUGACAGAGAUGGUGGUUAAAUGGUGGGUGGGAGGGACCUCGAUCGACAGAGAUGGUGGUGAGGUAGUGGGUGGGGACCUCAAUCGACAAGGAAGAGGCUGAGGCUAAUAGUAGGGGUUCAAAUCCGACUUGAGAGUCUUACCCCACCAGAGGAUGUUACAUGGGUAAAACACUUGCCAGCUGAGACUCGAACCGUUGCAUACCCUGACCACCUUUGCUUGCUGAUCUUUUUAUGGAAAAGGGCGUUGGUGUAGCAACCCCCACUACUUUUGUCAAGACUAUAGGCCGCAGGUUCCGUUGCCAGCUUGGACAACAGAUCCACAUGGUGGUUAGGUAGUGGGUAGGAAGAACAUUAAUCGACGGGUAGGAAGAACAUUAAUUAACGGGAGCUUGAUCCUAUUUUGAUGUAGUGCAAAUCCACUAAUUUGAGGUGAUACGUCCAUCGAGUUUUGUAUUUUGAGAUGGCUUGUGUCCACGGUAUUUGAAAUGAUUUGUGUUGUCAUUGUCUUUGUGCUUAUACUAUAAAUUUUGUUGACUCGAUUUGACUUAAUGGGUACUUAAGUCUACAAAGUCCACUUUGGUGAGAAUGGUGGGCCCACGGGCUCCGUUUGCAUUUAGCUUUUCGAAAGCUUCCUCAUAUUUUAAUCCAUAGUAAAUUAGGACUCUUAUCUUUGCAUGACUCUUCCACAUGGUUUCAAGUUUUUUCUUUUUUUCAUUUCUUUUUGGUCGAUUCUUUGAGAACGUAGCAGCAGCAACAUUUCCUUCCUUUGUAGUGCCUUCCUUUACUUUGUCUUGAAAUUCAUUUCAUUUUGUAUUCAUGCCCGACUAUAACUCAGCAGCACCGCAACAUAGCAAGUCUUUGCUUUCACAUUGUUUAAUAAAGGUAAGUGGCAGAGCACCAAUUUUUUUUAUAAAUGCCUUUUCAGGCUUUUAUAGUCAGACUUUCUUUCAAAGGAAACUACAUGAUUUUAUGUUACAGCCCGUCCCGAAUUAUAGUUAUCGAUGGCGUGAAAUGACUAAUUUGCCCUUGGACGUCUAGUACGUUAUGUGGUGUUGGGGCUUGAGUUUGAGUUUUAAACUAAAUUAGUUAGUUCCUAAGUUUUUGGAACUUAAAGUUAGUGAUUUUGAUUAUGAUUAGUGACCCAAAACUGGACCACACACUCACACACACAUCCAAACUCCCGUUGACCUUUCUCUUUCCUCCCUCUCUUGGAUUUUCUUCCAUUUCCAUAUAACCUAUACGGACAACCCUCAAACCUUUUCAAUCUUCAUGGAUCGAGGUUGUGAUUGCUAUUUUUAGACUCCUUGCAAGCUCAGGAGUCAAAUGGUGCUAGUGGUUGGACGUGAAAACCUCGAAAACCCAAAAACUCAGAAUCUCAUAUUUUGAGUACUAUUCAUGAACUCGUGAUUUUAAAGUUUUUAGGAGAUUUUAAUCUACUAUAGCUUUAGGACAUCUUCAUGAAGCUCAGAGAAGAAAAAUGAAGUGAAUUGGAUGUCGGGAAGUUGAGUUUGACGAGUCUCAAGUUUGGCCGGAUUAUCAAGGUUCCUUCGGCAAAAUCCCUUGGAUUUUAGGGCUUAAAAUUGGUAAGGUUUUGUUCUACUUGUUGUAAGCUUCAUUUUGGUACAAAUUUCGUGAAUUUUGGUUGAGCAUCGAAGAAGAUAUGAAGGUUUGAUUAUUUUCCAGUUUCCGGGGAGUGUACCGGUGACCGGCGCCGGACUCCAACAAACCAAGGAAGAAUGAGAAAGAUAUUCCAUCAAAGGUGACGAAAUAUUCUAACGUCGUCUGGUAUAAUUAAAGGCAUAUUCUAGUUUUUAAUGGAAUAUUCCCUAACGGCGUUGACUAUUCCGUCCCCUGUGCCAGGCACGUGCCUGUUCGUAGGCCGCACGUCUGGCCGUGUCAUGGCCGGCGCGUGAGGGCACGUGGGGUCAUGGAAUUUUUUUAUAAAAGUAUGGGGAUGUUCUUGAGGUUGAGUAGAUCAUGGUGGUAUAUGAGAAGUUAUUUCCUAAUUUUGUGUAUAUGCUUUUGUUUGGGCCCAAAAUAUUAGUUUGGGCCGAGUAUAGAAUCAUUCUCGGCCCAGGAGGCCUUACCACAGGGAUAUCAUGGAUCGUGGGCCUCCAAACCUAGGACGGCUAGGUCAUAACGCAGGACAAGUCGAGUUCUGGUGCAAUAAGGAGUCUCGGCAGGAUUAAUAACCCGGAAGCGAAUCCGGCUCGAUUAAGGACUAGGUUCACAAUCAUAGAGAAAACAGGACUGGUCGAGUUGGCGUUUGAUCAGGAGAAAAAGACCUACUCCGAGUAGGGUUUUGACUCGACUUUGAAGGUGUCCAGUGCUAUAAAUAGAGGAGGCUGUGCAACGAAUAGGAUCUCCAAUUCAACACACAAAACUGCCCUGCGCAAACUCUCUCAACAACUUUGAGAUUUUUUUUUAUUUUUUCUUUUCACUAACACAUCUUCCGUUGGCAUCAACAGCAUUGUGAAAGCAACCGGUGAUAUCUUAAGUCGGCAUAGAUAGCUCUGUCACCGUAGAAUGAGCCGGUCUCGCAACAUCUUCUGUUGGCAUCAACAGCACUACGGCGAGGACGGUUGAUUACCUAUCCAAGUCUCGGUCGAGAAAGGUUUCUGAAUGCUUAUUGGUCGAGGUCAUCUCAUCAGCCUUCUCGACAAAGUGAGGUGUUACAGUUCUUACAUUCGGCACAUUGAAGGCCGAAUUCGAUUCGUGAACUUUGUAAGAAUAGUAGCCUUGUCUUCAGGCUCGAGAAUCUAAGAGGCCGAGAAGUGUUCCUUUCUCGGCCGCAAUCGCAAGACGCAUAAGUUAGUAGCGCGACCCAACGCAACAUCAACAAAAUUUACUCCUCGGCCGAGCUCGGCCGACGAGUUGGCACGCCCUGCAUUCACCGAAUGACGUACUUAGCUUAUAGAUUACUCGGCCUGCGCGGCACAUAGGCUUGGUAGUUUUUAGGGUCAACAUUUUUGUUGGAAAUGUGCCCUAAAGCCAAUCAUAUGAUGAUACUUUACGGACAUUUCACAUGUUAAACUAAUCUAGUUUUACAUAUAAAAGGCAAAGAUUAUUGUUUGAGCCGUCUCAUAUAAAUGUUAUAUGCUUAAACGAUAAAGUCCAAGGAAUAUGUGAUUGGGAGAAUGUAAUCUAAUGAAGUUAGAUUCAUGAGACCAUUCUUUCGUAGACACAUCCUAAAUGUUCCUGAUCAUAGGAUUGUCAAUUGUGCAUUGACAGUCCGUAAAGAUCGGUACGUACUAUGUCUUCUCUCAGGGAGAAUGAUUAGUCUCGAGUCAUUGGUGUGUGUGACAUCAAGACAAGUACGUAGGUGCUCAAUAGAGAAUGAGUACACUGAACGUGAUCAACGAAGAGUUCUUAUAUUCCAUGUCAUAUAAGAACUCAUGGUUGGGAUAAUGCAAAGUAGUCCUUUGACCUGAGGCAUCACAGUUGUCUUGUGGUUAAGUCCUUGAUCUUUGAUUAUGUCAAAGUCACCCCCUCGGGGUGUCCACGGCAUCGUUGGGAUUAAGCCACUUAGCUAUGGAGACAAGUGAAUGCGCAACAAGGGAUCUCUAACCUUCAAACAGUUGAGGGAGAAUACUCUAUGAUAUGAUUUGGAAUCUCUGGCCAGAGUAUGAAUGAGAUUAGGGAAUGCGUUCCAAAUCACAUUCAAGGAAAUCAUAUAAGCACACGAAUCACAUUGGAUAGUAGACAUGAAUAAAUAAACUAUCAUACCAAACAAUGUGGUCAAGAGUAUUAGAUUAGAGAAGGACCGUAUUGCAUUUGUAAUCCCAAACUGAAUAGGUUCUCUAUCCUCUUCUGAUUAGCUUGGGUAACCAUGAUAUGCUGCUAGGUGUCACUCAUGGUUUGUGGAAGCCCUAAACGUGUGUAAUCACUAAAGGGAGAAUUGAAAAUAGUUUCAAUUCACAAUCGAUGUAAAAUGGUUUUAAUCACCCACUACCUCGCUAAAAGGAACCUAAUGGAUCGCACACCAUAAAAGGUGGAGAUUGAAGAUUAAACUGAAAUGAGUAAGAAUGAUUAAAUGGUUUAAUCAUUUAUUUAUGGCAAGGAUUAAUUAAUAUGUUAAUUAAUCAAACGAAUAAGUUCGUUAAAGACCUCGGGAUAGUUUUGGACCUUAAGGCCCAAUGGGCUUCGAACGUCAAGCCCAUUGACUUAAGUUGUAUGACAACUUAAUGAAUAAAGAUUCACAAAGGCCCAAAAGCCCAAAAAUCCCAAGGUAGGCCGGCCAUGUAUGAUGAAUUAGGGUUUUGGUUCUUUAGGUCACUUAUUUGAAGGGACUAUAAAAAGGACUUUAUAGCCAUAUAUUCAUUAAGUGAUUAAGGGUUUAUUUUGGGGAAAAUGGGUGAGAAUUGUCUCUCCAUUUUCUCUCUAAAGAGGCCAACACCUUGGAGGGUACAUCUAGCAAUCCUACUACUCCAAGGUCACUCAUUUCUUCUACAAUCAAACCUUGGUGAAGAGACUUAGAGGUUCCCUAUUUUUGGGAACUUGGAGAAACCUAUUUUUCCAUCCAAAUCCAUGGAUCUAAGAAGCAAGGAAUGAAGGCCCUAUCUCUUUGGGUGAUUAGCCUUUGCUUAUGCAAAGAGGAAUCUACAAAGGUAAUAAUUUCAACUCACUUUGUUUUGAGUUGAUUAUUGGUUCACCAAUCUACUAGGCUUUGAAUUUCAUGGUAAUGUUUUGUUUUUGAGUGCAUGCAAGCAUGAUUCCGCCUUUAAUUGUUAAUUGCAUGCUAUAUGAUGUUGCUCAAAUGAACAUGUUUUUCAAAAUAAAUCCUUCAAGUGGUAUCAGAGCCUAGGUCUAGUAGUUGGUGAAUCCUUUUGGGUUUUGUAGUUCACAAGUUUAUGAUUUAAAAGUUGUAAUUGUUACAAGCUUUAUUCUUGCUUCUUUGAAUGUAAAUUUUGUUUGAAAAUUUGCCAUCUCAAAUGUUGUAGAUGUAGUUCAUAUGAGGAUGAAUAUUGGAGCUAAAAUUUGGUGCCAUGAUUUGGGGAUUUUCGGCCAAAUCCAAAGGGUGAUUUUUUGGGUUCAUGUUUGUCUUGUUAAAAAUGUUUUAAGGUGACUUUUGGAACCCCUAAGUACCCUAGGAUGUUAGCAUCAUUUUGAAUGAUGAAAAUUUGAGUUUUUUGGCUUGAAAACAUUCAUGGAGCUCUUAUGGGUUUUCAUGGAUGUUCUUCAUUGUUCUUGAUGUUCUUGCCAAGAACAAAAAGGUUUUGUGUUUUGAUUCAAAGUUUUGAUUAUUUCAUAAAGUUUAUGUUAUAUGUUUUUUCAAAUGAUUUAUCAUGUAUUUAAAAUGUUAGAUAUUUGAUUAAAUAGCAAUAGAAAAAUCUAUCAUCAUUAUGAAAGGUAAAAGAAAAGGUGAUAAGAAUUUUCUUUCUUAUGCACUACUUGAUUGUUUUUUUGACAAAACUAAUAAAUCAAAACACCACCACUCCUUUUAUCCCUAAAAACCGGCCACCCUAAUAAAAUAGGGUAUUUUUGGGGCUUUUAUGCAAUUACAUAAAGUUUUUGAUACUUUUGUGUAUUUGUACUUUGACCCGAAAGUUUACGUUUUGACGUUAAGGCCUAAAAACGCUAAAGGACAAAUUGUUUUUGCUCCUUUAAUGAAGUUUUUGAAUUUAUUUAAAUUUUGGGUUCUAGUUGUAUUUACAUGAAGUAGUGACUUUUGUGUUUUUACAAAGUGACCCCAAAAGUUUAUGUUUUCGCAAUAUGGCCCAAAAGGUUGUGGUUAUUGCAUGAUGGCCCAAAUAGGAUGAGAACAAAAUUGUUUUGUUUCUUUUAAAUGAGAAUUGGAUUUUCAUUUUGUUUUAGCUCCACUUAAAUCAAUUUAUGGAUACAAAAAACCAAAUGAAAAUGUUGCAUUCAAUUAAUUAGUUAAAGCGUUAAUUAAUUAAAGGAUGAUUAUGAACCUAAGCCUAAAAUAAUUGAGCUAUGUGAAAGGCGUUUCAAAUUUGUUUGAACCAUGGGAAUGUGUAGAUUAGAUUUUGGUUGUAAUUUUUGAUUUGAUCAAAUGUUGUAAAAGGGCAUAAGUCCUUCUUUACUUUAAGGUAAUUUGUUUUAUGCAAAUGUUGUAAUGAGCAUAAGCUCAUCCUUUACUUUGAAGUAUUUCUUUCUUGCUUUAUAUGAUAUGCAUGAAAAUGAAGUAAUUCGGUCCAACGCCCCUAAGACAACACGCCUUAAUGUGAUUAAACGCGUAACUAAAAUCAAUCUCCAUCCCUAGACCGAGAUUCAACACAAGGCUCGUGUUGAAUCUAAACAAAGGUUCAUAGUCAUCCUAAGGCCCUAAGGCAACUAUAUAGUCCAUCAAAUGAAUGCAAACCUUAUGUUAGUAGUAACAUAUACUCUUGCUUUAAAAACCGUUUUAAAAGCAUAGUGGGAGUAUUAUGUACAACUAAAACAAUCAUAUGGACCAAUAGUUGUAAUAGGACCAAAAUUGUUUUAAUAGAGAUUAAAAUGUAUAUUGAUAUGUGAUGAGACCUAAAACCCUCAACCAAACCAAUAUUAAGUUGAAAGCGUGAGAGUGCUUUAGAACAUUCUUUCGUGGCCUUCCACCAUGGUAGUUCCAAUCGUUUAUGACUUGUACACCGGCUUCACCCUAUCAUGGGGAAGUACAAAGUGCAUGCUUAUACUCAGGAGGAGUUUAUAUACAUAUGAUGAGGUGAGUGUAGGCAACGAGGAUGGCCAAUAUCGUAUCAUCGUGAGGCUAUUCUUGAAACCCUUCAUGAACUAAGCAUGGUGGGAAUGACUUUAACUAAGUGCAAUGGAACCAAUAUCAUAUCAUUGUGAGGUGACAUUCUCUAGAGGCCAAAUAAGAUGGGUACUUGCAUUAGUUGCAAAUGAGUAAGCGUACUCUCUCAUUAUUAUUAAUGCUAGCCAAUAUCAUAUCAUUGUGAGGUGGGCUUGGUAGUAGUGAGCCUCCCAUAACCUACUAAGAGUUUCAUCCAAAACUCUCGAAUUCCAAUGAGGGAUAUGGAAUUUGCCAAAAAUAGUAGGUGAUGCUAUUUGAUUUAAAGACCCGAAUCAAAUGGCUUAAAAUCAAUCAAUUUAUAUACGUUAUGUAUUUGUUUACCAAUAUAUUUGCAAACGCUAUCCAACACUUGACAAAUAAAAGCCGAACGUUUAGUUUACGGACUUGGUACUACAAAACCAUAGAUUGUCUUUAAUGGCUUGUAAAUGUACCUAAGUAGUCUCAUCCUCACAAUCUUCCUAUUGAUAAUGUAUCAUUAGAAGAAUAUGUUAGAAAAGGUCUAUCAUAGAUAGGACAACACUUUUAAUGUCAUAAUUCUUCAAUUACAAAUUGUUGUAUGAAGAAAUAAGAGUUGCUUUGAACAACCCUUAGUCAAUACAAACACUUAGUGCUUAUUUCUUUGUUAAUUGAACAAAGAACUUGAGAAGUAAGCACAAGGGCAUGGACACUUUAUGUGCCAUGAUUCUUCACUUACAAAUUGUUGUAUGAAGAAAUGAGAGUUGCCUUGUACAACUCUUGAAAGUUUGUAAAUUAUGUUUUAGAACAUAAUGGUUGGUUGACAAAAAUAGUCCAUUAACAUGGACUUAUGAUGAUUUUGAAUCAUUGAGUGUUGAAGUGUUAAACCACUUAACGAGACGGAAACUAGGCAAGGACUUCACCUUUGUUUCCCUAUCCUAAUGGUUCACUAAGUUUAUGGUAAACUAUGUAGUGAACAAUAACCACAUACUCUCCAAAUUGUUUGAUGUGUAUAACACAAUUGAAAAAGGUUUCAAGAGAGAUAGUGGGAGUUUAGGGACCAUGACUAAUGUGUAGUCAAAGGUGAAAGUCAAAUAAAGAAGAUAAAUAACUCCAAGGGAACAAACUUUCUUUAUGAAAGGAUGGACAUUGGAAGGGGUAUUUGCAAGAAAUGUCUUGCAAGUGUCAAGAACACACCUUUCGAAGGUGUUGUAAAUUGUUCUUGAAUAGUUCAAAACAGUUGGUUUUCUUCUACUUGAAUGUAUGAUUCCGUAUUAGUAACUAUGUUUUACAAAUCGUUGUAAAAGUGUGACUAAUAAGAAGUAGAAGAUAUAUGAGAGAAGAAAAGGUGCUUCACAUACGGAACGUGAAUAAGAUAUAGAUCUCUGCGAAAGCAGAUAGUACUUACUUCCUCAUAUGAACUACCAAAGAAAUUGGAUUAUAGUAAUCUAAUUGAUUGUCUCUAUAGUAGAGAUGAUAUGGUAGUGUUAACUGUUUAGAAUAUAAUGAUGCUUAAAACCCAAAAGGUUGCAAGGUAGUGACUAAUCCCAACUAAAUUGUGAUACCUCUAAAACAUAAGUUACGAGUUGGUGAAACAAGGAUGCUUUGGAUCGUUAGAUCCGGAUCCAAUACCUUCUUGUUAAAAUUGUAUAGAGGCGAAAUGUUCGAAUCUUUAUUCUUUUGGAAAGAAGAAAGAAUCACAAAGUUGUUGAGGUUAAUUCACUUAGAUGUUAGUGGCACUUGUCACAACAUAAUACUACUCAUGUUAUAUGACAUUCACCGAAGAUCACUCUCGGUUGGACUAUAGUUUAUUUUGAAUAAACACAAGUCUGAAUACUUUGCAAAAGGUUUCAAAGAAUUCAAGAAAUGUAAAUAGAUGAGUAAGAUAUCUAAAGUAUUUACCUCCUUAGAUUUGAUCCAAGGAAAGGUAACACUUUAGAUGAGUUUCCUUGAAAGAUAUCAAGGAAAAUAGCAUCAUAAGAUAAUGUAUUUCUCCAUUAGGAGAAAGAACGAACUCAAAUAAGAUUUAGUUCGUUAGAUGUUAUCUAUUACCCAUAUAUAUAGGAUAUAUACUUCUAAAACAAUAAGAUUGUCAAUUAGAAGAUCUUCCAAAAUUUUCAUAACUCCAUAAGAUGUAGUUAGAAAGAAAGACAAAUCUUAAGCAUGUUAAAGAUUUGAGGUUGUGUGCUAAUAAGCAAUAUUUGUUUGAUAACAAUCUUGUGGGAUAUCCUUAAAUUAACUUUUGGAUAUCGCUUCUAUAAACCAACUAACAAAUGUUGUUUUGUUGGGUAGUUCAUUGUAAUCCUACAAUGUGAUUUGCCUAAGAGCAAAUGAACGAGAGAUAGAACUCAAAGAAUGGGUUCUUUGAGAGACAAGAAAGUAAUCAACAAAUAUAACAACCUAGUUCCUAUACCAAAGCUCCAAGGUAGUCGAGAAGGAUUUAUAAACCGUCUCAGUUGAAUGGUUUGAACUUUAUGACUAUGUCAUAGAGUUGCACCUCUUAAUUCGAAAGAAAUAAGAAUGAAAAUCCUUAUGACUACAUUGAGUGUAUAUAUGAUAUAUACUCAAGGAAAUGGUAAAGUACCAUUUGACCCGAAAUAAUGAAACCUUCAUAAGCUAAUUGGUAGCUUAAGGUGACUACAAUCAAAGAGAAUGGUUGACUUUGAAGAAACCAUCUUUGAGAUAGUCUUAGUUUCAAUUAAUUCGAAGAUUGCUAGCUACAACUAAAUGGUGAUUCAAUGUUUGGACAUAAUAUGGGUUUCCGAAACCAUUAUUAAGAUAGUCUUGAUAAUAUAUGUCUAAAACUAAAAAUCACAAGACAUGUAAGUUGUAGAGAUCCAUCCAUCAUGAAUCUUAGCAAGCUAGUGGGAGCUAUAUGCGUCUUAUGAGAGAAAGAUCAAAUCGUUUGAUUUCUCAUAAAGAUAUAAAUGAAUCUUUUGUUUACUAGGUUUACAAAAGAUUAGUGGGAGUUAAUCAUGUUCCUAAAAUUAAAAUAUAUAUGAUAUAUUAAUUUUGGAAAUGAAAAGAAUACUUCUUCGUUAAUGUUAUGACUUUAAGCAUUCUAUAAAGAUAGAAUGUAUAUGGGAAACAUAGUCUGUAUACAUGGGAUGGAAAUCUAUAUUGAUAGAUUUUAGGAUAUAAUUGGAUUAUAUCAUACCCUAAUAAUAGACAAAAUAUGCUAGGAAGUCUUUCAUAUGAUGAUAAACUUCAAUUAGGAGGACAAUUCUAGUUGGACUAAGAAGUUGCUCUUCUCAAAGAGAACGUACUCUUUGACUCCCAAAGAAAUAAUGCGUAAAUAGAAUCCUUUAUACAUACGCAGAAAGGUGAUUUAUGUAUUUCAUAUUGUAUGAAAAACAUUGAUAUGAGUUGUACCUAGAACGGUACAAGACGAUAUCAGUGCAAGCCCCGGAUCAGAACCAUGGCAACUGUCAAGUGAGUCCUUAAGUAUUUAAGAAAUACUAAAGGAUAUAUUCCUCAAAGAAUGUUGAAGAAUUAGAGUAACGUAAUGGAAGUGUAAAUGUAUUAGAUCAUAGGAUUGUCAAUUGGGCAUUGACAGUCCGUAAAGAUCGGUACGUACUAUGUCUUCUCUCAGGGAGAGUGAUUAGUCUCGAGUCAUUGGUGUGUGUGACAUCAAGACAAGUACGUAGGUGCUCAAUAGAGAAUGAGUACACUGAACGUGAUCAACGAAGAGUUCUUAUAUUCCAUGUCACAUGAGAACUCAUGGUUGGGAUAAUGCAAAGUAGUCAUUUGACCUGAGGCAUCACAGUUGUCUUGUGGUUAAGUCCUUGAUCUUUGAUUAUGUCAAAGUCACCCUCUCGGGGUGUCCACGGCAUCGUUGGGAUUAAGCCACUUAGCUAUGGAGACAAGUGAAUGCGCAACAAGGGAUCUCUAACCUUCAAACAGUUGAGGGAGAAUACUCUAUGAUAUGAUUUGGAAUCUCUGGCCAGAGUAUGAAUGAGAUUAGGGAAUGCGUUCCAAAUCACAUUCAAGGAAAUCAUAUAAGCACACGAAUCACAUUGGAUAGUAGACAUGAAUAAAUAAACUAUCAUACCAAACAAUGUGGUCAAGAGUAUUAGAUUAGAGAAGGACCGUAUUGCAUUUGUAAUCCCAAACUGAAUAGGUUCUCUAUCCUCUUCUGAUUAGCUUGGGUAACCAUGAUAUGCUGCUAGGUGUCACUCAUGGUUUGUGGAAGCCCUAAACGUGUGUAAUCACUAAAGGGAGAAUUGAAAAUAGUUUCAAUUCACAAUCGAUGUAAAAUGGUUUUAAUCGCCCACUACCUCGCUAAAAGGAACCUAAUGGAUCGCACACCAUAAAAGGUGGAGAUUGAAGAUUAAACUGAAAUGAGUAAGAAUGAUUAAAUGGUUUAAUCAUUUAUUUAUGGCAAGGAUUAAUUAAUAUGUUAAUUAAUCAAACGAAUAAGUUCGUUAAAGACCUCGGGAUAGUUUUGGACCUUAAGGCCCAAUGGGCUUCGAACGUCAAGCCCAUUGACUUAAGUUGUAUGACAACUUAAUGAAUAAAGAUUCACAAAGGCCCAAAAGCCCAAAAAUCCCAAGGUAGGCCGGCCAUGUAUGAUGAAUUAGGGUUUUGGUUCUUUAGGUCACUUAUUUGAAGGGACUAUAAAAAGGACUUUAUAGCCAUAUAUUCAUUAAGUGAUUAAGGGUUUAUUUUGGGGAAAAUGGGUGAGAAUUGUCUCUCCAUUUUCUCUCUAAAGAGGCCAACACCUUGGAGGGUACAUCUAGCAAUCCUACUACUCUAAGGUCACUCAUUUCUUCUACAAUCAAACCUUGGUGAAGAGACUUAGAGGUUCCCUAUUUUUGGGAACUUGGAGAAACCUAUUUUUCCAUCCAAAUCCAUGGAUCUAAGAAGCAAGGAAUGAAGGCCCUAUCUCUUUGGGUGAUUAGCCUUUGCUUAUGCAAAGAGGAAUCUACAAAGGUAAUAAUUUCAACUCACUUUGUUUUGAGUUGAUUAUUGGUUCACCAAUCUACUAGGCUUUGAAUUUCAUGGUAAUGUUUUGUUUUUGAGUGCAUGCAAGCAUGAUUCCGCCUUUAAUUGUUAAUUGCAUGCUAUAUGAUGUUGCUCAAAUGAACAUGUUUUUCAAAAUAAAUCCUUUAAUUUUGGCACGCCCGGUGGGACCCAGUGCUAAACUACGAAGUUCAUGCCAAUUGAAACACGAUUGGUAAAAAAGAAAACAACUAUGGGAAAAUCAACAGCCGAUUUACCAACUCAGAACAUAGGACACAGUGUGCCACAGGCGCAGAAUCCCAUCAGCGCCAUAACACUUGAGUCCACGAGCGCAACUCGCCGAGAAAGGGAAGUUAAUCUUGGCGGUCAGUUUAGCAGCCUCGAAAUCCCCGACAGGAAUACCUGCGUCCUCAAUGAAGGGAUAAUAGAGGAUUGUGAUGAAGAUGGUGGCGAAGGAUCUGAUCCACCAACAAGGUCGUUUCUUCGAAAACGGCUUGACGAGCAAUCUCGAACGGUUGAACAGACGUUUAGUCGAGGAAUCGAUAAACUUCAUGAUGUGAUACGCAAUACCAGUGAGGCACAAACCAGAUUACUUGAAAUACUGGUUAGUAAGGUCAGCGACGAUAGAACUUUCGAUCUUGCCCAGCAUUUGCCACCAAGGAAUAAUCUAUUACCAAGUGCACCGGCCGAGCCAAUCCCUGCUCGGCUCAAACCAAUUAACUUGGAGAGAGGAGGAGGAUCGAAUAGUAGGUCAGACGGAUCCGACCAGAGAGUGGAAGCAACACCCGUCGAUAUGACCGAGGUCCAACAGAUGAUCGAUUCGGCCAUGAAGAAAGGGUCAAAGUUCCCUAAGUUUAUACACCCGUAUCCAGCUUAUGUGGAACAGUUCGAAUACCCUAGAGGUUUCAAAAUCCUGGAUUUUAGCCUUUUUGCCGGAGAAUCAUCCUUAUCCUCGUUAGAACAUGUAGCUCGUUUCACUGCGCAAUGCGGAGACGUCAAUAGUGACUUUCACAAGCUGCGACUUUUCAAUUUCUCGCUGACCGGUUCAGCGUUCGCUUGGUAUAUCAACCUCUCACCGAAUUCCAUCCAGAGCUGGGAGGAGUUGGUCGAGAAAUUUCAUGAGCAGUUUUAUCGGUCGAGGAUGGAAAUGUCAGUAUCCUCGCUAGCAAUGAUGGCUCAGGCAUCCGACGAGUCACCAAUGGAUUAUCUUACCAGAUUUAAAUCAGCCAGGAAUUGGUGUCGAGUAAUUCUCCCCGAAGUCGAAUUCGUCAGACUUGCUCUGAACGGUCUUGACGUCGAAUAUAAAAAGAAAUUCUUGGGGGAAAACUUUCGGGAUAUGUAUGAAUUAGCCCAACAUGUCGAGCAGUAUGAUUAUUUGCUCCGCGAGGAAAAGAUUUCGAAAGCUCCAUCUCAAGGGACAAUUUACAAGAAUCCCGCUGUCAAUUAUGCAUCGACUGAGGAUGAAUGCGUUAGCGUGGAUGCAGCUGAGAUAGUGAUAGAUAAGCCAUACGUUUGCAAGGCACUGACUGAAGUUGACUCUAAGGAAGUCAACCCGCUCUCCCACUGAAGGAACACUGAAACAGUCAAAAGUUUAUACUUUUGAUAUUACAAAAGCCGAUGCAAUUUUUGAUCAACUGUUAUUAGCGAGGAUCAUCAAACUUCUGCCUGGGCACAACAUUCCCAAGGCCGAAGAGCUUAAAGGAAAGAUAUAUUGCAAAUACCAUAAUUCAAGCAAACAUCCGACAAACAAUUGCGUCGUGUUUCGAGACAACGUCCAAAGCUGGAUUGAUAAUGGCAAACUGAGAUUUCCAGAGAAAAAGAUGAGCGUUGAUACUGACCCGUUCCCCACGGCAAUAGUAAAUAUGGUCGAUGCGUGCCUACCUAAGGACAAAGGGAAAGGGAAGGCCGAAGCUAUUGCGACGUAAUACUUUUAGAAUCAGAACUCUCGGCCACGUUUCAUGGGCGAUUUUCGUUCAAACGAACCACCUACAGCUUUAACGGGACCCGCUAUUGUCAAGCCUAUGAUAGAUUACAACACUGAUGAAGACAAUGGGACGGCGGUUUUAUGCAGUAAAUGUAGAGCAAAGGUCAACAUUGAGCCAGAGGGAAAGUCCUCUCCGCUUAUAAUGGAACAACCUACAACCGCAACCCAACAAAAGGUGACCAGCGUAGGCCAACAUCAAGGGGUUUUUGAUAGGCUCGGUCCUAAAGUGAGGAUGGAAGAGACACCUUCAGUCAGACGGUGCCUCAAUUUUGAUGCUUCAUUUUAUGACGAGGACUACUAUAUACCUAACUCUAGCAGCUCGGAAUCAUCGCGGAGCCAAAAAACUUUCAAACUCCCGAACCUAGAGACCAACGUUGGUAUACAUAUCACUAUUCGAAAGGCGUCUACACCGCACUGUCCAAAUCCCAGAAACGUCGGCACCAAAGAAUAGAUUGCAUGGCCCGCCGACGGGCAGCCCAAGAAACUUCGGUCCCUAAAUGGCGGCCGAAGGACACAAUUGUCACCGACGAUGAACGACCACCUCCAUCGAUUAUGACUGAGUUGGUUCAAGGGAAACGGCUGGUCAAUCAAGAUAUCGAAACCACGUUCGAAGAGGCUGAUAAACGGAUCAAACUUCUUCUUUGGCUUGGGGAGAUGAAGGCACGUCUCGAGCAUUUUAGGCAAGAAGCUGAAAGCAAAUUGACCCCGCCAGCCACAUAAGAGCCUUUGAUCAAAAUUCGACGGAAUUUACAUCCACCAUUCCUCGGGAAGGCCUUGGAAUAUAUGCGAAAGUUUCAUAAGAAACAUUUGGCCAACGAUUUGUAUGGUUUGCCGAAAGCAUGUCAGGACACAAUAGAUCUUGUCCUAACUUGCCCAGAUGCCGAGCAAAUCAUUCAGAGGACUUCAGACCCAAGAUUGAAGCUAGGUUCCAGCACAUACGGGAAGCUCGUGUCCUUGGUUUUGAAGUCGACCCAUAUACUGACAUCGAUGCAACUGACCUUCCUUUCUCCAUGGAGAACCUUCAAUAUUUACGAUACCACUUCGAAGUUUUUUCGGCCGUUUCUCUCUUCGGCCUCACGGUCGAUGAAAUAGCACGAGUUGUACGGUUGGAUGCCUACCUCGACACCAGGGAUGCCCGUAUAAUGUACCAAGAGCAAGCUCGUAUCCUGGCGUCAAUCCCAGAUGCAAUUCCGAUUUCAGACGCACCAGAGGUAUCUGCACAGAACAAAUAGGCUUCCGAAGAGACACUGCGAGAACAAACCAUUGAUGAAGGCGCAGAAGAAUCUCUUAGUACUACUCCACUGCAAGUAGAUGCCGCAGUCGGUGACCAGGAACGAGAAGAGGCGGACGAGGAUGAUGGUAACCCGAUGGGCCCGUCGGUCUUGGAUAACAUGGAAAUCAGUAUGGUCCAUGUUUUGCCCGCUGAUUUUCAGUCGAGCACAUCCCAACCAAAUUUCCUUGAUGGUGACGUAAUUACCGAGGAAGUCGGUCACAUUGAUUUUGUAACUGUUGCUAAUGACGACUCGACAACAAAAGAUGACAACAUCAAAGCAGCUUUGGCCGAAUUGUUUCCUCGCGCAUCAUCGGCCAAACUUCAUCAUUUAAAGCCAUUGUAUGUCACGACCCAUAUCGAAGGGUAUCCAGUCUCCAAAGUUUUUGUCGACUGUGGAGCCACGGUCAAUAUCAUGCCUGUACACAUCAUGAAGGCGUUACGUAGCUCCAAUGACGAACUUAUUCCCUCCGGGAUCACAAUAAGCAGUUUUGUCGGAGACAAAUCCUAAACCAAACGGGUGCUUCCUUUAACGGUAAAUAUUGCUGGCCGUAAUCACAUGACCGCCUUUUUUAUCGUCGACUCCAAGAUCGAGUAUAAUGCAUUGCUCGGUCGAGACUGGAUUCAUCAAACCAGCUGUAUUCCUUCAUCAUUAUAUCAAGUGCUAGUUUUCUAGGACGGCAAAUCGGUCAUCGUUCACCCGGCCGAUAGUUAGCCCUUCGAAACUAACAUGAUCCAAGCACGGUAUUAUGAUGACCACGUCGACUAUAUCACCCUACAGGGUUUCAAUGACGAAGGACGGCCGACUCAGAUUUCUGUUCAAAAAGCUAUCGAGGUUGGCGCCGAAACUGUCCACCAGGAUUCGGCGAGGCUCGGUUUAGCUAAUUUCAUCCCCAACCCCGAUGUUUGACACCGAUCGGGAAACACGUAGGGUCGCGGUUUCAUCUACUAUGGAACGCCUGCUGGCCCAUUGGUAUAUUAUAUCUAAAUAACCAAAUUCGGGCGUUAACCUCGUUGAGUUCCUUACCGAAGAAGAUAAUGGUCCUGUCUUAUCUCUUAACAAAAUUCAAGCCGCCCCGGCUGAGCUCGAAGAUAAUCGGCCUCAAGUCAAAGAUCCCUGAGAGGAACUUAAUGUUGGGACGGCCGAUGACACACGGCUUUUAUUUGUUAGUGCUUUACUUCCCCAACCUAUGAAGGCCGAACUUCGUGCCCUGCUUGAGGAAUUUAAAGAUUGUUUUACUUGAAGCUAUCAAUAAAUGCCUGCCUUAUAUCGUACUCUCGUCGAGCAUGAGUUGCGUAUUAAACCUGGGUGUAAACCUUUCCGUCAACCACCUCGACGCUUCUCGACCGAAGUGCAACUCGGUAUCAAGGAUGAACUAGUUUGGCUUUUGAAAGCUGGGUUCAUUCGGACAGCUCGAUAUGUUGAAUGGUUGGCCACUAUCGUUCCUGUUUUAAAGAAAAAUGGUGCAUUGCGCAUUUGCAUCAAUUUCAGAAAUCUGAAUCUGGCAACUCCCAAAGAUGAGUAUACAAUGCCGAUUUUGGAUAUGUUAAUCGAUGUCGUGGCGAAUCAUGCGAUCUUAUCUUUUAUGGAUGGACAUGCCGGGUACAACCAAAUUUUCAUUGCCGAAGCUGAUGUGCACAAAACUGCUUUUCGCUGCCCGGGGACACUCGGCACUUACGAAUGGGUUGUUAUGCCAUUCGGCCUCAAAAACGCCGACGCCACAUACCAACGGGCAAUGAACACCAUAUUUCAUGAUUUAAUUGGAACCAUCGUCGAAGUCUAUAUCGACAAUGUUGUAAUUAAAUCCAAACAACGGCGGACUCAUCUGGAUGAUCUCCGACAGGCUUUCCUCCGUAUGCGUCAACACAAUCUCAAAAUGAAUCCUGCCAAAUGUGCAUUCGGUGUGUCGGCCGGUAAUUUUCUCGGUUUCCUAGUGCAUCAUCGUGGGAUUGAAGUGGACAAAAAUAAAGCACGUGCAAUCAUCAGUGCUCUACCCCCGACGACAAAGAAACAACUGCAGUCCUUACUCGGUCAGAUAAAUUUUCUCCGCCGAUUUAUAGCUAACUCGGCAGGUAAAAUGAAAGCGUUCUCGACGCUUGUGAAACUUAAGGACUUAGAUAAAUUUGAGUGGACCGACGAGCAUCAGGCAGCGUUUACACAAAUCAAAGUCUCCCUCACGACACCACCUGUCCUUGUUCGACCCCGGCGCGGUAAACCUCUCAAACUAUAUAUCUCGACGGCUGAAGAGUCCAUCGGCUGCUUCCUCGCCCAAGAUAACGAUGUUGGGCGGGAGCAGGCUAUUUUUUACCUCAGUCAAAAUCUUACUCAACCAGAAAUCAAUUAUUCUGCCAUUGAGAAGCUCUGUCUCGCCGUGUUCUUCGCCGCCUCUAAGCUGCGGCAUUACAUGCUUCCGUCGGUCACACAAGUCAUUGCCCAGACCGACGUUAUCCGGUACAUGCUUACCUGGCCAAUCGUAAAAGGCCGAAUUGGGAAAUGGACAAUGGCGUUGUCCGAGUUUAGCUUACAAUAUGUACCCCAGAAAGCUGUCAAAGGCCAGGGAUUGGCAGACUUCCUUGCUCAAGACUCUUCCCCCUACGGUUUUGGGGACACCGACGUUGAAAUCGGCAUGGUUGAAACACGCGACAACUACUGGAUGAUGUAUUUUGACGGUUCAAGUACUUCUUCCUCGACCGACAUGGGCAUUGUCAUUCAAUCUCCCAACCACGAUCGUUGGUAUUUUUCGCUCAAGUUGGAUUUCGACUACACCAAUAAUUAGGCCGAAUACGAAGCCAUUAUCAUCGGCCUUGGCCUCCUUCAUGACUUGCAGGCCCCCCGUGCCCUCAUCCUCGGUGACUCUGAACUUGUGAUUAACCAACUUAAUGGGUCUUUUCGAUGCAUGAGUUGCACACUGGCACCCUACCAUAUGGCCGCCAGCUAUUUGGCCAAAUCUUUUGACGUUAUCACAUUUGAACAUAUUUCUCGGAUCCAUAAUACCGACGUAGACGAGUUGGCUCAAAUCGCCUUCGGUGCGCAACUCCUGGGGGGCAAGCUAGGCCGAGAAAUACCCGUGUUACGACAGCUACACCCGGCUUUGGUUAACCAGCAAGUCCUCUGACGCGACAACGUGAUACGCACUAGAGUCAUGUCCUUACCCUCGUUGCUAGACCGACAGGACCCUAUAGAGGUUUGUGCCGUCGAGGCAAUACCAUAUGAUUGGAGAAAGCCCAUUAUGCAAUACCUUGACAAUCCCAAUGGCAAACAUAGCCGCAAGACACGAGUUCACGCCACAAACUAUGUCACGUAACAAAAUGAGCUAUACCGCAAGGGCGAGGAUGGUCUAUUACUGCUAUGCCUCGGCCCCCAGGAGAGUGCUCAGGUAAUCACAGAAGUCCAUGAAGGGAUUUGCGGAGCUCAUCAGUCCGGACGAAAAAUGCGGUGGUUACUUCGACGACACGGUUAUUUUUGGCCACGAAUAUUGAAGGAUUGUAUCGAGUUCGCACGAGGGUGCAUAAAGUGUCAGAUUCAUGGUCCUAUAUAGCGGGUCCCGGCUGAAUUAUUACAUUCGGUCACUAAACCAUGGCCGUUUAGAGGAUGGGCCAUGGACGUAAUCGGCAAAAUCACACCAUCUUUCGGGGCUGCCAAACACGCAUGGAUACGGGUAGCAACCGAUUACUUCAUUAAGUGGGUCGAAGCUAAGUCAUAUGCCGAGCUAACAACUAUAGAAGUUUACGACUUUGUGGAAGAACACAUUGUGACCAGAUUCGGUGUACCAGAAACGAUUAUAACAGAUAACGGCACAAUCUUUACAGCUGAGAGGUUUAGAGAAUAUACGGCGAGUUUGAAAAUCCGACUUGAACAAUCUACACCGUAUUAUCCACAUGAAAAUGGGCAGGCCGAGGCAAGUAAUAAAGUGUUGAUCGGCAUUCUUGAGAAAAUAAUAAAGGAAAGGCCCGGCAUGUGGCAUUUAAAGUUGAAUGAGGCUUUGUGGGCAUAUCGAACAUCACCACGAUCGGCAACCGGAACAACCCCGUAUGCAUUAACCUAUGGCCACGAUGCAAUGUUACCAGUCGAGUUAAGCAUAAAUUCGAUGCGACUAAUUGAACAAAGUAGUUUGUUCAGCGCCGAAUAUAAUCAGUCCAUGAGACAGGAGUUAGAAGAUUUAAAGGAAGCGCGACUUGAUGCCUAUAACUUAUUGGUGGCACAAAAAAGGAUUGCCGAGCGCGCCUAUAACCAAACGGUAUGACAUAAAACAUUUGGCGAGGGAGAAUUGGUUUGGCCAACGGUGUUGCCAGUAGGACUAAAGGACCCUAGGUUCGGCAAAUGGUCGCCAAAUUGGGAAGGGCUGUACAUUGUACAUAAAAUAUACGGCAAAUGGGCAUAUCAUCUUAGAGACUAGACCGGUUUAGUUCACAAAUUACCAAUCAAUGGGAAAUUUUUAAAGAAAUACUAUCCGGUCACAUGGGAAAUGCGGGAAUAGAAAAUCAGUUCAUUAAGAUCGAAACGAGUACAUACAAAUUGAACAAGUCGAUCGGUUUAUAUUUAAAUACAUUCAAGGUGAAGAAGGAAGAAGAGUGCCGAGAAGGGCCUUCAACUCCAACCACCGCACCUCGCCCAUUAUGACCUCGGCCUGCCGGUUCUUUUUGUCCAUUUUUAACUGCUCGACCCGUUUUAUGCUCGCCGCAUACUCGGUUAAGCAAGCUUUGUCGCCCGACUCGAAGUCCUUAGCAAGCUCGGAAGCAAUAACCGAUCUUCGUUUCAAUAAUUCGGCCAUUUGACGGUCGAGGUCGGGCAAGGCCUUUCCUUUUGCCUUUAAAGCAUCAAUCUUUGGACGGAGAGUGUCUCGGACGGCCAUGGUAGCUUGCAGGUCUUGUUCAUGUUGGAAAUGUGCCCUAAAGCCAAUCAUGUGAUGAUACUUUACGGACAUUUCACAUGUUAAACUAAUCUAGUUUUACAUAUAAAGGGCAUACAUUAUUGUUUGAGCCGUCUCAUAUAAAUGUUAUAUGCUUAAACGAUAAAGUCCAAGGAAUAUGUGAUUGGGAUAAUGUAAUCUAAUGAAGUUAGAUUCAUGAGACCAUUCUUUCAUAGACACAUCCUAAACGUUCCUGAUCAUAGGAUUGCCAAUUGGGCGUUGACAGUCCGUUAAGAUCAGUACGUACUAUGUCUUCUCUCAGGGAGAGUGAUUAGUCUCGAAUCAUUGGUGUGUGUGACAUCAAGACAAGUACGGUAGGUGCUCAAUAGAGAAUGAGUUCACUGAACGCGAUCAACGAAGAGUUCUCAUAUUCCAUGUCACAUAAGAACUCAUGGUUGGGAUAAUGCAAAGUAGUCCUUUGACCUGAGGCAUCAUAGUUGUCUUGUGGUUAAGACCUUGAUCUUUGAUUAUGUCAAAGUCAUCCCACCAGGAGGGUGUCCACGGCAUCGUUGGGGUCAAGCCGCUUAGCUAUGGAGACAAGUGAAUGCGCAACAAGGGAUCUCUAACCUUCAAACCGUUUGAAGGAGAAUACUCUCUGAUAUGAUUUGAAUCUCUGGCCAGAGUAUGAAUGAGAUUUGGGAAUGCGUUCCUAAAUCACAUUCAAGGUAAUCAUAUAAGCACAAGACACACAUUGGAUAGUAGACAUGAGAAAAUAAACUAUCAAACCAAACAAUGUGGUCAAGAGUAUUAGAUUAGAGAAGGACCGUAUUGCAUUUGUAAUCCCUAACUGAAUAGGUUCUCUAAACCUCUUCUGAUUAGCUUGGGUAGCCAUGAUAUGCUGCUAGGUGUCACUCAUGGUUUGUGGAAGCCCUAAACGUGUAUAAUCACUAAAGGGAGAAUUGAAAAUAGUUUCAAUUCACAAUCGAUGUUAAAUGGUUUUAAUCGCCCACUACCUCGCUAAAAGGAACCUAAUGGAUCGCACACCGUGAAAGGUGGAGAUUGGAGAUUAAACGGAAAUGAGUAAGAAUGAUUAAAUGGUUUAAUCAUUUAUUUAUGGCAAGGAUUAAUUAAUAUGUUAAUUAAUCAAACGAAUAAGUUCGUUAAAGACUUCGGGAUAGUUUUGGACCUUAAGGCCCAAUGGGCUUCGAACGUCAAGCCCAUUAACUUAAGUUGUAUGACAAUUUAAUGAAUAAAGAUUCAUUAAAGCCCAAAAGCCCAAAAAUCCCCUAAAUGGCCAGCCAUGAUGAAAUGAAUUAGGGUUUUGGUUGUUUAGGUCACUUAAAGAAGUGACUAUAUAAAUGAUUUUAUAGCCAAAUAUUCAUUAAGUGAAUUAAGGGUUUAUUUUUGGGGAAAAUAGGUGAGAAUUGUCUCUCCAUUUUCUCUCUAAAGAGGCCAACACCUUGGAGGGUACAUCUAGCAAUCCUACUACUCCAAGGUCACUCAUUUCUUCUACAAUCGAACCUUGGUGUCGAGAAUUAGAGGUUCUCAAUUUUGGGAACUUGGAGAACCUAUUCUUCCAUCCAAAUCCAUGGAUCUAAGAAGCAAGGAAUGAAGUUCCUUAUCUCUUUGGGUGAUUAGCCUUUGCUUAUGCAAAGAGGAAUCUACAAAGGUAUUAAUUUCAACUCACUUUGUUUUUGAGUUGAUUAUUGGUUCACCAAUCUACUAGGCUUUGAAUUUCAUGGUCAUGUUUUGUUUUUGAGUACAUACAAGCAUGAUUCCGCCCUUUAAUUGUUAAUUGCAUGCUAUAUGAUGUUGCUCAAAUGAACAUGUUUUACAAAAUAAUUCCUUCAAGUGGUAUCAGAGCCUAGGUCUAGUAGUUGGUGAAUCCUUUUGUGUUUUGUAGUUCAUAAGUUUGUGAUCUAAAAGUUGUAAUUGUUACAAGCUUUAUUCUUGCUUCUUUGAAAGUAAAUUUUGUUGGAAAAUUUGCUAUCUCAAAUGUUGUAGAUGUUGUUCAUAUGAGCAUGAAUAUUGGAGCUAAAAUUUGGUGCCAUGCUUUUGGGAAAAUUCGGCCAAAAUCAAAGGGUGAUUUUUUGGGUUCUUGUUUGACUUGUUAAAAGUGUUUUAAUGUGUUCUUUGGAACCCCUAAGUACCCUAGUUUGGUUAGAUGUUAUUUCCCUUAAGUAAGAAUGGUUUUGGAAUGUUUUUGGGUGGAAAAAGUUCAUGGAAAAAUUUGGGUUUUUCAUGGAUGUUCUUCAUUGUUCUUGAUGUUCUUGCCAAGAACAAAAGGGUUUAGUGUUUUGAUUCAAAGUUUUGAUUUAUUUCAUAAAGUAUAUGUGAUAUGUUUUUUAAAUGUUUUAUCAUGUAUUUAAAGUGUUAGAUAUUUGUAUAAAUGAUGAUUGAAAUAAUUGUGAUUGAAUUAUUUCAAAAACUUAUCUUACAUACACUUGCAUGCUUUUGACAAAACUCACAAAUCAACACACACACCAACCUCAUCCUCUCCCUAAAACAGGCCACUCCCUCAAAGGGAGUACUUUUGGGGCUUUUAUGCAAUUACAUAAAGUUUUGAUACUUUUGUGUAUUUGCACUUUGGCCCAAAAGUUUACGUUUUUACGUUUAGGUCCAAAAACGCUAAAGGACAAAUUGUUUUGAUCCUUUAAUGAUGUUUUUGCAUUAUUAAAAGUUUGGGUUCUAGUUGUAUUUACAUGAAGUUGUGACUUUUGUGUAUUAUACAAAGUGACCCCAAAAGUUUUUUAUUGCAAUAUGGCCCAAAAGUUGAGGUUAAUUGCAUGAUGGCCCAAAUAGGAUGAGAACAAAAUUGUUUUGUCUCUUUAAAUGAGAAUUGGAUUUUCAUUUUGUUUAGCUCCAUUUAAAUCAAUUUUAUGGAUACAAAAACCAAAUGAAAAUGUUGCAUUCAUUUAAUUAGUUAAAGUGUUAAUUAAUUAAAGGAUGAUUAUGAACCUAAGCCUAAUAUAAUUGAGCUAUGUGAAAGGCGUUUCAAAUUUGUUUGAACCAUGGGAAUGUGUAGAUUAGAUUUUGGUUGUAAUUUGAUUUGAUCAAAUGUUGUAAAAGGGCUUAAGCUCUUCUUUACUUUAAAGUAAUUUGUUAUAUGCAAAUGUUGUAAUGAGCAUAAGCUCACCUUUACUUUGAAGUACUUCUUUCUUGCUUUAUAUGAUAUGCAUGAAAAUGAAGUAGUUGGGUCCAACGCCCAUAAGACAACACGCCUUAAUGUGAUUAAACGCGUAACUAAAAUCAAUCUUCAUUCCUAGACCGAGGUUCAACACAAGGCUCGUGUUGAAUCUAAACAAAGGUUCAUAAUCAUCCUUAGGCCCUAAGGCAACUAUGUAGUCCAUCAAAUGAAUGCAAAGUUUAUGUUAGUAGUAUCAUAUACUCUUGCUUUAAAAAAUCGUUUUAAAAAGCAUAGUGGGAGUAUUAUGUACAACUAAAACAAUGAGAUGGACCAAUAGUUGUAAUAGGACCAAAAUAGUUUUAAUAGAGAUUAAAAUGUAUGUUUAUAUGUGAUGAGACCUAAAACCCUCAACCAAACCAAUAUUAAGUUGAUAAGCGAGAGAUGUUUAGAAUAUCUCUUCGUGGCCUUCCACCGUGGUGGGAUCCAAUCGUUUAUGACUUGUACACCGGCUUCACCCUAUCAUGGGGGAGUACAAAGUGCAUGCUUAUACUCAGGAGGAAUCCAUAUACAUAUGAUGAGGUGAGUGUAGGCAACGACGAUAGCUAUACAUCGUAUCAUCGUGAGGCUAUUCUUGAACCCCUUCACACACUAAGCAUGGUGGGAAGAACUUAACUAAGUGAAAUGGAGCCAACAUCAUAUCAUUGUGAGGUGACAUUCUCUAGAGGCCAAAUAAGAUGGGUACUUGCAUUAGUUGCAAAUGAGUAAGUGUACUCUCUCAUUAUUAUUGUUGCUAGCCAUACAUCGUAUCAUCGUGAGGUGGGCUUGGUAAUAGUGAGCCUCCCAUAACCUACUAGGAGUUUCAUCCAAAACUCUCGAAUUCCUAUGAGGGAUAUGGAAUUUGCCAAAAAUAGUGGGUGGUGCUAUUUGAUUUAAAGACCCAAAUCAAAUGGCUUAAAAUCAAUCAAUUUAUAUUCGUUAUGUAUUUGUUUACCAAUAUAUUUGCAAACGCUAUCCAACACUUGACAAAACCGAAUGUUUUAGUUUCUGGACUUAGGUACCACAAUCCCAAAGAAUGUCUUAAAAUGAUUGCAUAUGUAUCUAAGUAGUCUCAUCCUCACAAUCUUAUAUUGAUAAUGUAUCAUUAGAAGAAUAUGUUAGAAAAGGUCUAUCAUAAAGAGGACAACACUUUUAAAUGUCAUAAUUCUUCAAUUACAAUUUGUUGUAUGAAGAAAUAGGAGUUGCUUUGAACAACUCUUAGUCAAUACAAACACUUAGUGCUUGUUUCUUUAUUAAAUGAACAAAGAACUUGAGAAGAAAGCACAAAGGCAUGGACACUUUAUGUGCCAUGAUUCUUCACUUACAAUUUGUUGUGUGAAGAAAUAAGAGUUGCCUUGUACAACUCUUUAAAGUUUGUAAUUAUGUUUAGAACAUAAUGGUUGGAUGACAAAAAUAGUCCAUUAACAUGGACUUAUGAUGAUUUUGAAUCAUUGAAUGUUGAAGUGAUAAACCACUUAACGAGACGGAAACUAGGCAAGGACUUCACCUUUGUUUCCCUAUCCUAAUCAUUCACUAAGUUUAUUGUAAACUAUGUAGUGAAAAAUAACCACAUGCUCUCCAAAAUGUUUGAUGUGUAUA